GAAUGACUAGCCUUUCUAUGGAAUCUGAAAAUAUGUUACCAUAUGCUUCCACGCCAAAGGAAAACCUGAAUGACCAUCUCAUCAAUUUCACACCCUACAAGGAGAUUCACGGAACCUGAUGGAAUAAACUGCUGUGAGAGGGAGUAUUGAAAGAGCCAUUUCCUCAUCAUAAAGAUGCAGUAGCCAUAAUUAUUCCAAUCAUCCAAAAGAGAAGACUUUAAAGUACAGUAGUUAGCCAUCAAAAAGAGAAGGCUAAUAUCCAGUUAUGAGAGCAUUUUCCCAAGUGAAUUUUGACCAGACUGAGACAUACUACAAAGGACAGUUGCCAGAAACAACACCCAAAGAUACUUCUCCCCUGGACCUUGUUCCCAGGCUCCGUGUGAAGCUGAACACUCCGCAUGAUCUCCCUGCCACCAUAGCAAGCUAUGAAGUUCAUUACACAUGCAGGUAGCAGACAAUACAGCUCUGCUUCCAUUUCUGAGCACCUACGGUAGACUGCCAUUAUUCAGUGUGCCAGCCUGUUUCCAAGCCUACAAUGUAUAGUUCCUCUACAGAUCACUGUGGAGGCUCUGUCAUUUGUUGGUUGAAGACAAGUCACACAUGGAAGGGGAAAGACCGGUUAGAGGGCUGUUGUAACAAUUCCAGUAAGAGAUGAUGGUGCCUCAGUGAAAGUGAUGAAAAGUGGGGUAAUUCUGGACCUAUUUUCAAGGUAGAACGUAUAUCUUCUACAGAAAUGCUUGCACGUGUCCUCUGACGACCUGUACAA
rnacentral:lncRNA from 10 species